rnacentral:lncRNA from 1 species
CUCCUGAUGCUCCACCGGUGAGUGGUAAAGCCUGGGGAAAAUAAAUAUGACUUCUGUGACAUCAGUUAUAUUAAUGGGGAGACUCUGGAGCACUAUUGAAAUAGUUCCUUGCGGGUGUGAGAGGAAGGUCCUCACUGUGGGAGGAUGGAACACGGAAGAGGAAAGCAAAGCAGGAUGAACACAGAGUGAGACAGCCAGGCACAGCAAGGCAGCAGCUUCUGUUUCCUGCAGAGAUCAAGGAAUACAGGUGUCUGAAGCUUAAGGACAGGUGGCCUAUUGACUCUGCGUAGAGCAAUGGUGCUCACUUGGCAACACUCACAAUUGAAUCAGUGUCAAAUUGGUAUGUGUGGAGUAGAGUUUGGACAAGGUGAGUUCUACUCUACCUGUAACUGGCAAUGUCAUCUAGGGAACUGUGUAAGUACUUAUGUACCCUCUAUAGGCUCCCCUUUAUGAGAUCCCAAGAAUUGAAGAGUACUGCAAGUUUGAUCCUACUUACCCUAACUGGAUUAACCAAAUCUUGCCGACCUGUGUUUAUUACUAGUACUAAAUAUGAUCUAUGGUGAUAUUCGCUCCUUUUAUUAAUUCAUAUUAAACUUAUGGUAUACUAGAAUUUUGAGUAUUAUCUCACACGUAGCA